CAUUUACAGUUACAGGGUAAGGUUUUAGAGUUUAACUCUUUCUCUCCCAGCAUGGGGUUCUGAGGAGCAUUUGCCAUUUCCCUGGAAAUCCCUGGCACUGCAGAGAUGAGCCAUUGCAGAAGCAGCCGUGGGUUAAGGACACACAUUCCCUCCCAGCUCUGAGCUCCAGGGUGAUUUACUGGGCUUUGUCCUACCAAGUCUUAAAUUCUUUUUAUAGAAGGAAUUACGGGAGGCAUUUUAAGAACAGCCAUAAUUAGCACAAGCACUGGCAGGGUGAGAUCUCUGAGUUUCACUGAAAUGUGUGAGCCAAAGUGGCCAGGGAAGACCAGGAACUGCAGCUGCCACUUCCAGCUGGAACUGGGGAAAACCAUCCAACAUUAAAAAGCCAGUGGCUCCCGGGAUGCAUCACAAGGAAUGUGACCAACAUUCGGGGAAGGGGAUUGUUCCCCUCUCCCUUUGAGAGAGCCCUGGAGAAUUGUGUCCAGCUCUGGGCUCCUCAACAUGAGAAGGACGUGGAGCUGAUGGAGAAAUCCAGAGGAGGCCAUGGAGAUGCUCCAAGGGCUGGAGCCCCUCUGGAGCCAGGCUGGGAGAGCUGGGGGGGCUCACCUGGGGAAGAGAAGGCUCCAGGGAGAGCUCAGAGCCCCUUGCAGCUGUCUCUUAUACACAUCUAGAUGUGUAUAAGGGUUGGGAGGGAUCCCAAAGCCCACCCAGUGCCACCCCUGCCAUGGCAGGGACACCUCCCACUGUCCCAGGCUGCUCCCAGCCCCAAUGUCCAGCCUGGCCUUGGGCACUGCCAGGGAUCCAGGGGCAGCCCCAGCUGCUCUGGGCACCCUGUGCCAGGGCCUGCCCACCCUCCCAGGGAACAAUUCCUGCCCAAUCUCCCAUCCAGCCCUGCCCUCUGGCACUGGGAAGCCAUUCCCUGUGUCCUGUCCCUCCAUGCCUUGUCCCCAGUCCCUCUCCAGCUCUCCUGGAGCCCCUUAAGGCCCUGCAAGGGGCUCUGACCUCUCCCUGAUCCUUCUCCUCUCCCGGUGAACACCCCCAGCUCUCCCAGCCUGGCUCCAGAGCAGAGGGGUUUCAAUGAGAU
rnacentral:lncRNA from 13 species